UACGUAGGGUGCAAGCGUUGUCCGGAAUUAUUGGGCGUAAAGAGCUCGUAGGCGGUUUGUCGCGUCGCUGUGAAAGCCUGGAGCUCAACUCCGGGUCUGCAGUCGAUACGGGCAGACUUGAGUGUUGCAGGGGAGACUGGAAUUCCUGGUGUAGCGGUGAAAUGCGCAGAUAUCAGGAGGAACACCGGUGGCGAAGGCGGGUCUCUGGGCAGUAACUGACGCUGAGGAGCGAAAGCGUGGGGAGCGAACAGG
rnacentral:rRNA from 1 species